rnacentral:lncRNA from 1 species
ACUGGGUCCCGCGCAGGCGUCCCCGGGACCGCAGAGCAAACUUUCUGGACUAUCUGAGGACACUUGUCCAGCGAGCCCCACUGCUCGGGGAGGAGGAGCCACGGCCGGGGACAGAUUUUUAAAGUCUUCUUCUAGGGGUUUCCAGCAGAGCCAAAUGUUAGAAAAAUCUUUCCGCUCCUCUGAAGAGUGAAGUGAGCAAAUACAACCCAGCAGUAGGUUAUUGAAGACAGCAGCCCCAGGUUUUGGAAGGUGACAAUGAAAUGUGAAGAAGUUACAUUUCUCAAACUUGAAAGUUAGUGACGGCUUACCAAAUUUUAAUGAAAAUUAAAUAUGACUUAGAAGCAUUGAUUUAUGAAGGCUUAUGAUGUCAUCGGUUUCGACAGAAAGCAAACUCCAGCAGG